CUGCGGUUUGAGAGACUCCCGCGUGUCAACAGAUGUUGCCUCCACCCAGCUCUUGAGCAGAAACAAUUCAUGGGAGGAGGACUGCCUCUUCUGUCGAUGUUCAUCUCCCUGCUGCCUGCCUGGUGGCACUCCAGCUCGACGUGAAUACGGCUCCUCACGUUCCUAAUCUGGUCAGCUCGUACCAGCUGAUGGUCUGGGGCCAAACCAGCGGCUGAAACAAAGGUUUGGUUUCCAUAACAUUUAUUUGCAGGGAGAGGAGAGAGUGAAAACCAUCAACGCAAUAAGACACAAUGAACAGCCGUCGGUUUCUCUAACCUCCUCCACCCAACAUAGUGACGGAGGAGAGCUGAGUGGUGCUCAGGGCUCCCAGGCCCUGGCUAUCCGUGUCCGUUCCUGUUAUUUACCUCGGUGAUUAUUCCCGACAGCCGGCCCCAGCUCAGCCCGCCGUUCCUCCAACUCAUCCCGGUGUUCCACGACGGAGGAAUCCGGAUGGAGGCUUUGGUCGGGGGGUUCUGGGGUGCUUUGUGGAGCCCAAUGCUGCCCGGCCGGGGUUGAUCAGCGCCUGAUACUGUGGGGCUGCUGCCUGGCUGCGUUACCUUGGGCCGGAGGUCGAGUCAUGCGACACGGGAUCGAACCCCGGUUUCCUUGAAUAAAGAACAAGGUGUUCCUCCGUGGCAGACGCAGACAGCUCUACUCACACUCAUCGUCAGGUGUAUCUCUGCGCUGUGCUCCUGGGUCAGGGGAGGCGGUGGACGGUUAUGAAGGUGAUCUGGUCGAGGUUCAGCAGCGCCUGAGGUCCCAUCCCGGAGGUAGGAUCCCCUCCCACUGCUCCGUGUGGCUCGGAGACAGGCCGCCUCUCAGACGGCCCCGUGGUGGAGGAAAGGCUCGUUCUGCGGUCGGUGGGCCCGCCAACAACAUGAUCUGGGGCUUCUGCCCGUAGCGCGCGCCGACACCGCGCCCCGCCAUGGUCGUUCAGUUAGUGGCGUUAAUAGUUAAUCCAUCUGCAGUUAUUACUGCUGGUGCCAAAAUGGGAAAAUAAUGAUGGGUGUGUAUGGACGCUUCAAUGAAGUAUUUAAUGAUCAGUUUAGAAUUAAUAAUAUCUACGUACGAAACCAGAUCUAUGAAAACACAUCUCUAAUUGUGUUAAGAAAUUAAGCCCGGUUCCAAGGGAAAAAAAUAAAUAAAAAAAAAUAAUAUAAGAAAUGAAACCAUGUAUGGUUAUUAAUGAUGACAUGUUAAUGUAGGU
ensembl:lncRNA